rnacentral:lncRNA from 1 species
UUUGGCUCGCGAGGUGAAGAAGCUGCGGAAUCGGGAUAUUCCGUAUGUGAAGGUCCUUUGGAGCAACCACGGGGAGCGGGAGGCCACGUGGGAGCUAGAGAGUGCGCUGCGGGAGCACUACCCUCACCUUUUUCAGGUGGAGUCUUGAGGUACGUCUCAUUUCGAGUUUCGCGGACGAAACUCCUUUUUAGGAGGGGUGAAUGUAAUACACUGGAUCUUAGCAAAUUGCAAGAUUCGAGUGUUUGAUCUGUGUGUGGAGCCUUUCCACCAUUGGAGCUUGAUUUUGGAGCUUGGUAGAGGGAAGAUCUUGGGACUUGGAUAGUUUAGAGCUUGGAUUGAAGCUUCUAAGAGGUAAGCAACAUGUUCUCUCCCUCUAGAUUCAAGUUUUAUUGGAGAUUUUGAGAUGAAACCCUAGAAUGAGGUUUUAGAGUUAAUAUUGGGUAUUUUGAAUCUAGGGCUUUUGGAGCUAGAUUGAGUGGAUUAGAGGCUUCCAUUGGGUUGGAUUGGAUGAGCCCUAGCUUCAUUUUGGAGCUUUAGAGGAGAUUUUUGCACUAGAGGUGAGUUUUCCUCACCUAUGAUUGAUUAGCUUAAUGUCACGCCCGGAUACCAGCGGAAGCAUAUCCGGCACGUGCACAGACCCGCCAUACACCUGCAGUAUAUAAGGCGUCUACAAGAAGCAAGUCGAUAGGAAGUAAAACAAGGAAAAUCCUAUCCUGAUAUCAGAGCAAAGGACAAGUUGAUAUACAACGAGUAUCCAAUCCGAGUCAAUAUACAAAGAGUAUACAAUCCAUGAUCUCAGCAAAAAGGAGAAGUAACACUACUAUAAUCUCAACCCCGAAAGUAAAUAUACAACACAGGGUAUACAAAAAGAAUAGGUACAACGGUGGUCUCUCUAUACAUAGGGACAUCACCCUCGGCCGUAGCCCGAGUAGCAAGGUGAUCGACUAGCAUGCUCCUAGUAGUCCCUAGCUAGGCGCGACUCCCUUGCCACGAUCCCUAGCCUCUCCUGUAACAGGCUCUGUAAAAACAACCACCAAAAGGGCGUGAGAACUAUUAACAAUAGUUCCCAGUGGGUAAGCCGCCAGCCUCGGCGAAUUACACCACUAGGCUCAAGAUGUACUAAAUGGAAAUAAAAGCGGUAAUUUGCAUGAUAUAUUUUCAAUGCUAACAAUUCAUAAGCCAAUGUUAACAAAUAAUGAACAUGUAAACAACAUGUGAUCAUAGCAUCAACAGUAAUGAAUCAACUGAAUAAUAGAAUCAUGGCUACUACUAUAAGCAUAAACAUAGCAUAAAUGUGUAAGUAACUACUAUACACGGUAACGGGUAAUCAUUCAUUACUGUUCAAUUUUCUUUAGCACUUUCCUUUCAUUCACAGGGACCUACUCAAGGUAGUCCAGCUUGCGCCGCGCCUAAUGGCCCCGUGGUAGUAUACACUCCCCACGGCAAUCCAUUUCGGCACCCAAUCCCGCACGGGCGAGCAACUGUCGCGUAGGCCAACUCCGGAGUGCCGGCUUGUAGGGAGCUACCCUCACAAGCGUGUGCGAAUGAGCACAAUGGCAAGCAAGCGUAUUCCACAGUUCACAUGCCUCGAAUAUCAUAAUUUCAUUUGCAAUGUUCUUACCCUCGAUUCUCUGAUCGGAAUUUCAAUUCACAAAGAGUAACAAGAACUAGUAUCCACUAGAUUGUAAACAUGUAAGAGUAAUGCUAAAUCACAUGGCAUUAUAAUCUUUCCACUAUUAUGGCACUAUCAACAUGGUCAUAAGCAUGUUAUAGUUUUCUACUUUAGAGUUAAGAGAAUAUCAUUGUUCUCUACAAAGUCACGAGAAUAUCACUGUUCUCUACUAUUUUACAAAAGCAUCAUUAGUAUGACCAUUAGUUAACUUAACUAAAUAUAAACAUAAACAGAGGCAUAAAGACACGUAUGCAUGAGUGCUCUCUACUUCAUAGAGGUUCUAUGUCCAUUAUGUUAAGCCUUAUCGCAAGGAUAAUCCCAAUCCUUUAGCAACUACAUAGUGACAAUAAUACACGUGUAUAUCAAUUCUCAAUAGUGACAUAUAGAACAUAGAGGAGCUUCACUUGCUCUGGUUAGGUCCGACCCACCUGGUACAAGGCUCCAAAGUCACAAGAAAUCCCACUAAUCAGCUCGACACGGCUGCAAUCCUGCUGAACAUAAACAUCAACAUCGUGUCAAGAAGACGACCGAAAUGUCCGAUUUCGGCCUAAUUUUCACUUAGUACAAGAUAAUAGAUUGAAUCCCUGCUUUGGGGCUAGUUUAAUACCUCAAGAUAAGUCUCCACGAGCUCUCACAAGUCAACUAACGACGAUCCACGGCUCGAUCGCACUCUCGCUGCGAGUAACAUCGAAAACAGCGUCAAAACGCUUGUAUAUAAGCUUAUAUAGUUCAAUUCUUGCGAAAUUGAAUUCCUCACGGAAGUUCCUGCUUACCCUGGGUUAGAGUAGCUUCCAAAUCUGUUUCUAAGAGUACAANNNNNNNNNNNNNNNNNNNNNNNNNAUCCCGUUGGUUUUUUUGUUGCAUCCGGGACGUGUUGUUGUCUCCAAUCACUCUUUGGAUACUCGAGAGUAUGCCCCAGUUGCCCUGUUUGGGUAGGAGAUUGGAUUAUGCCCGUAGAUCUCUUAGCUUUGCGCAAACUUAGAGAGUUUGAUGUGGUUUUGGGCAUGGAUUGGUUAACCAGCUAUUUCGCCACUAUUGAUUGCAAGAAUCGAAUGGUUACUUUUAGAGAACCGGGGCAGACAGAGUUGUAUUUAGAGAAUGCAAGAGUUCCCUAUUCGCGAUGACGAUCAGCUCGUCUCGAGCUAGGCAGCUGAUCAGCAGGGGUUGCUUAGCCUAUUUGGCUAGUGUUGUGCUGAGGGGUGAGGAUGACACCCCUAGGAUUGAGGAUAUCCCGGUAGUACGGGAGUUUUGUGAUGUGUUUCCAGCGGAGCUACCAGGCAUGCCACCUGAUAGAGAGAUUGAGUUUGUGGUAGAUCUCCUCCCUGGGACUACCCCAAUCUCAAAGGCACCCUAUAGGAUGGCACCAGCAGAGUUGAAAGAGCUGAGGGCACAGCUGUAGGAUCUUUUGGACAAAGGCUUUAUUCGACCGAGCGUCUUGCCUUGGGGAGCGCCAGUUUUGUUCGUCAAGAAGAAGGACGGAUCACUUCGCUUGUGCGUGGAUUAUCGUGAACUCAAUAAGGUCACGAUUAAGAAUAAGUAUCUGUUGCCGAGGGUCGAUGAUCUAUUCGAUCAGCUUCAUGGAUCGAGUGUGUAUUCCAAGAUCGACUUGCAGUCGGGAUACCACCAGUUAAAGAUCGCACCCGAGGAUGUAUCAAAGACGGCUUUUAGAACACGGUAUGGACACUAUGAGUUCACUGUUAUGCCGUUUGGGCUUACUAAUGCUGUCGCGCCCCACCCCGAAACCACUACCAAUUUGGCACGAUUCGGGUGCGCCGGGUGGACCGCCGAACGGACAGCACCUCCCCUGUCUGCCCAAGGCUCAACAACAGGAAUGUGUACAAGAAUUUAUCCAGAAAGUUUAAAUUCUAAGCAUACACACUCAACGGGGCACAAAUAGUGCCAACAACCAAGAGCCAGAGAUCCACAUGCUAUACGAGUGAAAAAAAAGAGAGUACUGUAGUAACUAUUACAAUAGUUUGCAUCUUUUUACAUCAUUUCUCAAAAUGAAUACAUUUGAUCAUCCAAAAUACAUAGCUCUCCAAAUCCUCACCUACAUGAAUCUCUCUCAAUGCAUAGGUAUGCUAAUGCAAAAAGAAAAGCUACUGUACUACCACGGUCUCACUGAUCGGGCGCAAUGCCCUUGCGGCGGUCCUCGCUCGAUAAACCCGUACCUAUCACUGGAGAUAGAGUGGGGUGAAAACUAUCUUCCAUAGUUCCUAGUGGGCUCGGCCGCCGACUAUGCCGGUCUCCCCACUAGGUCCAAGUGGGCACAACUAACAACAAGUAGGUAGAUAGAUAGAUAUCUCAAAGCUGUAAAUGACAUAAUAGGAAAUCUAUGCUACUAUGCCCAUAAUCAUGUGUAAUGAAUGCAUGCAUCAUAUAGUAAAGGUUUACUACCAUGCUAACAAGUUCGAUCCAUAUUCGAAUAAUAAUGUUCAAUGACAAUACUUAUUUUCCAUUUAUCCAAUCUAUGGCGAGACCCUUCGGUUCGCCUGCAACUCACAUUUCCAUCCCGUGUUUGGCAAGGGAGAUCCAUGUGCCCCCAAACCCGGGACUGUCUGCGGACCUCCAUGUGGUCCCUAUCGCCCGACACUUCGAAGUACUCGACGACAAUCCUCUCCAUGUGAGGAUAUGGAUGGCUAUACCAUCCCAAAUAAUAGACCGUGAGCUAGAUCUAUCCUCUUCAAGUGAGGAUACCCUACGAACUAGGGCCAACAUCUCGAAUGAACUCAUCUAUAUCCUCUCCAUGUGAGGAUACUUAGCUUUACUAAGUUCUUUGUCCACAGGGCAUUUUCUAAGGGAUUCACCUAUCCCUAUGUUCUCAAACCUCUAGUGUUAAAUACACUACAUCAAUGCCACUCGUUUGUUCUUUAAACACUAGAUGCCACUCGUUUGUUCUUUCAACAUUAGAAGUUACUUUCUAUAUCACCAAACACCCAUCGUGUUUAUCUCUUUUCUCUAGCACUAUAGGAUCCAUGUUCCGACCAAAUCCUCACCUAUCUAAGUCACCAAGCGUUCCAUGUACACUAUGUUAUCAAUUAGAAAGCAUAAGGAAUGGCACUACUAUGCAAUCCUACAAUGUAACAUGCAAGAGAUGAAAUUAUAUGUUAUUCUAAGACAUAGAAAAGAGCCCGGUUGCUUCGGGAUGACACCCCCCACCUUGUGUAGUCGAUGAUUGUUGUGGAGGUUCCAGAAGUGUUCCUCGGCACUUCAACCUACGUGAUCCCCGCCUCUUUGGGAGAAACGAAGCUAGGCCGGCCCUAUUGUCACGCCCGGGUACCAGCGGAAGCAUAUCCGGCACGUGCACAGACCCGCCAUACACCUACAGUAUAUAAGGCGUCUACAAGAACACAAGUCGAUAGGAAGUAAAAACAAAGAAAGUCCUAUCCUGAUAUCAGAGCAAAGUACAAGUCAAAAUACUAUCAACAAAAGGGCAAGAGUAUACAAUCCAAAAUCUCAGCAAAAAGGAGAAGAGAUCACAACUAAAGUAUCUGGUCCAAACAGUAAAUAUACAUCACGGGUAUACAAAAAUAAAUAGGUACAACGGUGGUCUCUCUAUACAUAGGGACAUCACCCUCGGCCGUAGCCCGAGUAGCAAGGUGAUUGACUAGCACGCUCCUAGUAGUCCCUAGCUAGGCGCGACUCCCUUGCCACGAUCCCUAGCCUCUCCUGUAACAGGCUCUGUAAAAACAACCACCAAAAGGGCGUGAGAACUAUUAACAAUAGUUCCCAGUGGGUAAGCCGCCAGCCUCGGCGAAUUACACCACUAGGCUCAAGAUGUACUGAAUGGAAAUAAAAGCAGUAAUUUGCAUGAUAUAUUUUCAAUGCUAAUAAUUCAUAAGCCAAUGUUAACAAAUAAUGAAUAUGUAACAACAUGUGAUCAUAGCAUCAACAGUAAUGAAUCAACUGAAUAAUAGAAGCAUGGCUACUACUAUAAGCAUAAAUAUAGCAUAAGUGUGUAAGUAACUACUGUACACUGUAACUGGUAAUCAUUCAUUACUGUUCAAUAUCCUUUAGCACUUUCCUUUCAUUCACAGGGAUCUACUCAAGGUAGUCCAGCUUGCGCCGCGCCUAAUGGCCCCGUGGUAGUAUACACUCCCCACGGCAAUCCACUUCGGCACCCAAUCCCGCACGGGCGAGCAACUGUCGCGUAGGCCAACUCCGGAGUGCCGGCUUGUAGGGAGCUACCCUCACAAGCGUGUGCGAAUGAGCACAAUGGCAAGCAAGCGUAUUCCACAGUUCACAUGCCUCGAAUAUCAUAAUUUCAUUUGCAAUGUUCUUACCCUCGAUUCUCUGAUCGGAAUUUCAAUUCA